UGUUUACUUUCACAUUAAAAAUGUAGAAGACUGAUGAAGAGCCUUCAGGAAAAAGCUUUUGUUGCAUUCAAGUGAAAAACUGCAGAAUAAAUCAAUUGUUAUGAGAUUAUGACGACACACUUUGUGUAUUUUCAGGUAGUAAAAUUGUUUUGUUGAAGUUAAAUGCUCAGAAAAUUAUAAUUUCUAAUAAUUAUACCAACAAGAAUGACCAAAUUGAAACCACAAUGAUGAGAAAUAAAACAAACAAAAGGAUAAUUAUUAUUAGAGAAUUGUUAUUUCGCAAUAAAAGAACCUAGAGCUGUCAGAGCUUUGUGUCUAAUCUGCUCUGACGCCCACUGAGAAAAUAAAGUGAUGAUAAAUCAUGUGGAGCCUGUUUCAAGGUUCAGGUCCGCACUUUUCUCUGAACGUGUUUAAUGAAGAGACUAAAUGUGAAAUGAACCUCAGAGUGAAUGUGUAUAAACAGUAACUGUUGAAGGACAGAGACGAAAAUAGACGUAAAAUAAACUUUGCAUCAUAAAAUGUGGAGGAACAUCAACACGAGUGAGUCGCUCUGAAGACUGUGAAGUGUUUCAAGAGUUUCCAUUUCAGAAGAUUAAACACACGACUGUCGACGAGACAUCUGGUUCAGCAGCUGCAGUUUGGUCUGAGUCUGAGGACACAAGGAGAUGACAAGAGAAGGACGAGGACACAAGAACUCGAAGGAGGAGGAGACAAAGACAAGAAAGCUUGGACAUGAGGAGAUGAGGACGAGGACACAAAGACAUCAGGAAAGAUCAUCUCCAUGUUCCUCCAGACGAGUGAUGAAAGCUACGUGCAACGUGAGAGUCAUGGAGCUGGUGAUGGGGGGAGCUGUCGUCAUGGUAACAGACGAUAACAUGACAUCAGCAGGCACUAAGUCUUCAGUUUGAAGCUUCAAGU